UGGGGCGUAGUCUAAUGGUAGGACAGCGGGUUCUGGUCCCGUGUGUGAGGGUUCGACUCCUUCCGCCCCAGCCA
rnacentral:tRNA from 1 species